rnacentral:rRNA from 1 species
CACGCCGUAAACGGUGGGCACUAGGUGUGGGGGACAUUCCACGUUCUCCGUGCCGUAGCUAACGCAUUAAGUGCCCCGCCUGGGGAGUACGGCCGCAAGGCUAAAACUCAAAGGAAUUGACGGGGGCCCGCACAAGCGGCGGAGCAUGCGGAUUAAUUCGAUGCAACGCGAAGAACCUUACCUGGGUUUGACAUCUGCCGGAAGCAGCCAGAGAUGGUUGUGCCUUUUUGGUCGGUUGACAGGUGG